CCACCGGGGGAUGAAUGUCAC
rnacentral:miRNA from 1 species